UACGUAGGGUGCGAGCGUUGUCCGGAAUUACUGGGCGUAAAGAGCUCGUAGGUGGUUUGUCGCGUUGUUCGUGAAAACUCACAGCUUAACUGUGGGCGUGCGGGCGAUACGGGCAGACUGGAGUACUGCAGGGGAGACUGGAAUUCCUGGUGUAGCGGUGGAACGCGCAGAUAUCAGGAGGAACACCGGUGGCGAAGGCGGGUCUCUGGGCAGUAACUGACGCUGAGGAGCGAAAGCUAGGGGAGCGAACAGG
rnacentral:rRNA from 1 species